rnacentral:rRNA from 1 species
UUUGGGGAUUACCUGGUUCAAGCUUGUAGUCGUGGCCCUUAGGCAAAUCCGGGGGUCUUAGAUGAGGAGUGAUAACGAGGCGGCUUGCCGCCGAAGUGAGUGAUACCCUGCUUCCAAGAAAAGCCACUAAGCUUCAGCUGCACACGACCGUACCGCAAACCGACACUGGUGCGCGAGAUGAGUAUUCUAAGGCGCUUGAGAGAACUCUGGAGAAGGAACUCGGCAAAUUGACACCGUAACUUCGGAAGAAGGUGUGCCUUUAGUAGGUGAACCAUUUACUUGGGGAGCCCAAUGAGGCCGCAGAGAAUCGGUGGCUGCGACUGUUUACUAAAAACACAGCACUCUGCAAAGACGAAAGUCGACGUAUAGGGUGUGACGCCUGCCCGGUGCUGGAAGAUUAAAUGAUGGGGUGCAAGCUCUUGAUUGAAGUCCCAGUAAACGGCGGCCGUAACAAUAACGGUCCUAAGGUAGCGAAAUUCCUUGUCGUGUAAGUUCCGACCUGCACGAAUGGCGUAACGAUGGCCACACUGUCUCCUCCAGAGACUCAGCGAAGUUGAAAUGUUUGUGAUGAUGCAAUCUCCCCGCGGAAAGACGGAAAGACCCCAUGAACCUUUACUGUAGCUUUACAUUGGACUUUGAACAGAUCUGUGUAGGAUAGGUGGGAGGCUUUGAAGCCGGGACGCUAGUUCUGGUGGAGCCAACGUUGAAAUACCACCCUGGUGUGUUUGAGGUUCUAACCUUGGCCCGUUAUCCGGGUUGGGGACAGUGUAUGGUGGGCAGUUUGACUGGGGCGGUCUCCUCCCAAAGCGUAACGGAGGAGUUCGAAGGUACGCUAGGCACGGUCGGAAAUCGUGCUGAUAGUGCAUAGGCAUAAGCGUGCUUGACUGCGAGACGGACAUGUCGAGCAGGUACGAAAGUAGGACUAAGUGAUCCGGUGGUUCUGUAUGGAAGGGCCAUCGCUCAACGGAUAAAAGGUACUCUGGGGAUAACAGGCUGAUACCGCCCAAGAGUUCAUAUCGACGGCGGUGUUUGGCACCUCGAUGUCGGCUCAUCUCAUCCUGGGGCUGUAGCCGGUCCCAAGGGUAUGGCUGUCCGCCAUUUAAAGAGGUACGUGAGCUGGGUUUAAAACGUCGUGAGACAGUUUGGUCCCUAUCUUCCGUGGGCGCUGCAAGAUUGAGAGAGCCUGCUCCUAGUACGAGAGGACCGGAGUGGACGCACCUCUGGUGCAUCGGUUGUCACGCCAGUGGCAUAGCCGAGUAGCUAAGUGCGGAAGAGAUAACCGCUGAAAGCAUCUAAGCGGGAAACUCGUCUCAAGAUGAGUCUUGCCGGGGCCUUGAGUCCCCUGAAGAGUCGUUCGAGACCAGGACGUUGAUAGGCCGGGUUGGAAGCGCAGUAAUGCGUUAAGCUAACCGGUACUAAUUGCUCGUGCGGCUUGACCCG